rnacentral:rRNA from 1 species
CUGCAAGUCGCACGAGAAAUCUGGGGCAACCUGGAGAGUACAGUGGCGCACGGGUGAGUAGCGCGUGGGUAACCUGCCCUUGAGUUGGGGAUAACUUCGCGAAAGCGGGGCUAAUACCGGAUAAUAUGCCACCUCUUCGGGGGUUGGCAUCAAAGGUGACCUCUGCAUGCAAGUUACUGCUCAAGGAGGGGCCCGCGUACCAUUAGCUAGUUGGUGAGAUAAUGGCCCACCAAGGCAACGAUGGUUAGCUGGUCUGAGAGGAUGGCCAGCCACACUGGAACUGAGACACGGUCCAGACUCCUACGGGAGGCAGCAGUGGGGAAUCUUGCGCAAUGGGGGAAACCCUGACGCAGCAACGCCGCGUGGGUGAUGAAGGCCUUCGGGUCGUAAAGCCCUGUCAGGUGGGAAGAAACACAUCGGGACGAAUAAUCCCGAUGUUUGACG